UAGCAAUAGGUUGAUGGCGACCGGCGCACGGGUGAGUAACACGUAUCCAACCUACCGGUUAUUCCGGGAUAGCCUUUCGAAAGAAAGAUUAAUACCGGAUAGUAUAACGAGAAGGCAUCUUCUUGUUAUUAAAGAAUUUCGAUAACCGAUGGGGAUGCGUUCCAUUAGUUUGUUGGCGGGGUAACGGCCCACCAAGACAUCGAUGGAUAGGGGUUCUGAGAGGAAGGUCCCCCACAUUGGAACUGAGACACGGUCCAAACUCCUACGGGAGGCAGCAGUGAGGAAUAUUGGUCAAUGGACGAGAGUCUGAACCAGCCAAGUAGCGUGAAGGAUGACUGCCCUAUGGGUUGUAAACUUCUUUUAUAUGGGAAUAAAGUGAGCCACGUGUGGCUUUUUGUAUGUACCAUACGAAUAAGGAUCGGCUAACUCCGUGCCAGCAGCCGCGGUAAUACGGAGGAUCCGAGCGUUAUCCGGAUUUAUUGGGUUUAAAGGGAGCGUAGGCGGACUAUUAAGUCAGCUGUGAAAGUUUGCGGCUCAACCGUAAAAUUGCAGUUGAUACUGGUCGUCUUGAGUGCAGUAGAGGUAGGCGGAACUCGUGGUGUAGCGGUGAAAUGCUUAGAUAUCACGAAGAACUCCGAUUGCGAAGGCAGCUUACUGGACUGUAACUGACGCUGAUGCUCGAAAGUGUGGGUAUCAAACAGGAUUAGAUACCCUGGUAGUCCACACAGUAAACGAUGAAUACUCGCUGUUUGCGAUAUACAGCAAGCGGCCAAGCGAAAGCAUUA
rnacentral:rRNA from 1 species